GGUAACAGGGGAGCUUGCUCCCGCUGACGACCGGCGAACGGGUGAGUAACACGUACGCAGCCUACCUCUUACAGAAGAAUAGCCCCGGGAAACUGGGAUUAAUACUUCAUAACAUCCAUUUUUCGCAUGAUUUUUGGAUUAAAGCUCCGGCGGUAAGAGAUGGGCGUGCGUCCCAUUAGAUUGUUGGUGAGGUAACGGCUCACCAAGUCGACGAUGGGUAGCUGGCGUGAGAGCGCGAUCAGCCACACGGGCACUGAGACACGGGCCCGACUCCUACGGGAGGCAGCAGUAGGGAAUAUUGGACAAUGGGCGCAAGCCUGAUCCAGCCAUGCCGCGUGCAGGAUGACUGCCCUAUGGGUUGUAAACUGCUUUUUUCAGGGAAGAAACCUACGAAUUCACUUCGUAGCUGACGGUACCUGAGGAAUAAGCACCGGCUAACUCCGUGCCAGCAGCCGCGGUAAUACGGAGGGUGCAAGCGUUAUCCGGAUUCACUGGGUCUAAAGGGUGUGUAGGGUGGAUCGUUAAGUCAGAGGUGAAAGCCCCGAGCUCAACUCGGGAAUUGCCUUUGAAACUAUCGAUCUUGAGUUCAGUUGAGGUGGGCGGAAUGUAGCAUGUAGCGG
rnacentral:rRNA from 1 species